CGACGGACGUCACGACAAGUGGUGGUUGAAACUCAACUCUCGUAAUUUCGCGGCUCCAACACGUAGCAUGUUUGGGCUCCCUGACCCUUAUCGCGCUUAGGCGCACCGACCGCGACCCCAGGUCAGGCGGGACUAACCGCUGAGUUUAAGCAUAUCAAUAAACGGAGGAAAAGAAACUUACAAGGAUUCCCCUAGUAACGGCGAGCGAACCGGGAACGACCCAGCCUUAGAAUCGGGCGGCUCCGCCGUCCAAAUUGUAGUUUGGAGAAGCAUCCUCAGCGGCGGACCGGGCCCGAGUCCCAUGGAAGGGGGCGUAAGAGAGGGUGAGAGCCCCAUUGUGCCCGGACCCUAUCGCACCACGAGGCGCUGUCUACGAGUCGGGUUGUUAGGGAAUGCAGCCCAAAUCGGGCGGUGAAUUCCGUCCAAGGCUAAAUACGGGCGAGAGAUCGAUAGCGAACAAGUACCGCCAGGGAAAGAUGAAAAGGACUUUGAAAAGAGAGUCAAAGAGUGCUUGAAAUUAUCCGGAGGGAAGCGGAUGGGGGACGGUGAUACGCCCCGGUUGGAUGUGGAAUGGUGUUGAGCCGAUCCGCCAUUGACUCGGGGCGUGGACCAGCGUGGAUUGGUGGGGCAUCCAAAGCCCAGGCCAUUGAUACGCCCGUGGAACGCCGUCUCUUCGAUUAUGGUAGGCAGCGCGCGCCUCUGUCGUGCUUCGGCAUCUGCGCGCUCCGGACGCUGGCCUGUAGGCUCCCCAUUCGACCCGUCUUGAAACACAGAACAAGGAGUCUGACAUGUCUACGAGUCAACGGGCGAGUAAACCCGUAAGGCGUAAGGAAGCUAAUUGGUGGGAUCCCCCUGAAGGGUGCACCGCCGACCGACCUUGAUCUUCUGUGAAGGGUUCGAGUGUGAGCAUACCUGUCGGGACCCGAAAGAUGGUGAACUAUUCCUGAGCGGGGCGAAACCAGAGGAAACUUUGGUGGAGGCCCGCAGCGAUACUAACGUGCAAAUCGUUCGUCUGACUUGGGUAUAGGGGCGAAAGACUAAUCGAACCGUCUAGUAGCUGGUUCCCUUAGAAGUUUCCCUCAAGAUAGCUGGAGCUCGCGUGCGAGUUCUAUCGGAUAAAGCCAUUGAUUAGAGGCAUCGGGGGCGCAAUGCCCUCGACCUAUUCUCAAACUUUAAAUAGGUAGUACAGCACGACUGCUUUGGUGAGCCGCGCCACGAAAUCAAGAGCUCCAAGUGGGCCAUUUUCGGUAAGCGGAACUGGCGAUGCGGGAUUAACCGGAUGCCCCCGGUGGCCCUUGAAAAUUCGGAGGACCGAGUGCCGUCUACGCCCACUUGUACUCAUAACCGCAUUAGGUCUCCAAGGUGAACAUCCUCUGGUCGAUGGAAAAAUGUAGGCAUAGGAAGUUGGCAAAAUGGAUCCGUCACUUUGGGAAAAGGAUUGGCUGUAAGGGUUGGGCAUGGGGGUCCUUGGUCCCGAACCCGUCGGCUGUCGGGGGACUGCUCGAGCUGCUACCGCGGCGAGAGCGGGUCGCUGCGUGCCGGCCAGGGACGGACUAGGAACGGUUCCUUUGGGGAAUCUGACUGUUUAAUUAAAACAAAGCAUUGCGAUCCCUACGGAUGUUUAUGCAAUGUGAUUUCUGCCAGUGCUCUGAUUGUCAAAGUGAAGAAAUUCAACCAAGCGCGAGUAAAUAGCGGGAGUGACUAGAAGCGACGCAUGCGCCCGCCGUCCGCUUGCCGACCCGCAGUAGGGGCCUCUGGCCCCCAAGGGCACGUGUCGUUGGCUAAGCGUCCCCCUCCAAACCAAUUAAUUUCUAANCUACGACGUCUUGAC
rnacentral:ncRNA from 1 species